UGAUGUCAUAAGGCGGGUCUUAACUUACGAUAAAGAGAGGAAGUCCUGACUGAACAUGAUAUAGUUAAUUAUGAGUCUAUGAAAUAAAUUAAUAUCAUUACUAUUGUCGAAUUAAUACUGGUAACUGUACAUUUUUGUUUUGUAUAAUUAUGGCACUCAGUGUUUCUCAGAUUGUCGUUCUGGUUGCUGGAAGCGUCGCAUUUCUUCUUUUAACAGUUGGAAUCUUCUACCCCCAUUGGUGGAAAUCGGUUGACAAAUCAGAUUACACCGUCCCAUUAUUCGGUGCAGUUUAUUGUAUCGACGAUGUAUGUUAUUCUGCUGUAGUUGUUCCUGUAGACUAUUACUCCGAACCAGGGUGGCUAAUGGCUGGACGUAUACUAAGUUGUUUUGGUUUGUUUUCCGUAAUAGGAGGAAUAAUAUCCCAAUUACUUAAUAUGAGAUGGCAAACGGAACUAUUUCAUAUUAUGGCCUUAGUUAUGUUUGCAACUGGGGGUUUCUUAAGUUUUAUUGUUUCGUUCGUCUUUAUCGCGAAAUUCAGUCAAAUAUCAGCGGCGUAUCAAUUAAUGAGGAUUCAAGACUCAUUAAGCUACAACUUAUUGCCCAUCUCCCUGAUGUUACUGGCCAGUAUAACGUCUAUCUUCACUGCCGUUGCGUCCGGUAUAGGCUACAAAGCGGAGAGAGAGGUGGUGGUUCUAACUUGGAAGAAAGGCUCCUAUUUAUUAUAGACUAUCUAUUGAAUAGAUUCUAUUUAUAGAUGCACAUAUUAUUGAGUGGUUUAUAUUUUAUAUAUCAUGGUUCCCCCCCCCCUCUAGCUGGCAAUAGUAAAAACAAAAUGUACUUUAAGUCGCUGAUCCCGAUCGUUCAUUUUUAGGCAGUACCAUGAAAUAUUUCACGAUUUAAUCCAUGCUAAACCCAGAUUGAAUAUUUAACAUUGAAGUAAAGAUGCAUUAUCUUAAGAGCUUAAUCUGUCUGUGCAUGUAUUUCUUUUUUGUAUCAAAUGUUUUAUAAACUAUUAUUUAGACACUUACAAUCAACUCUCUAGACAAUUGGAUAGCCGAGAUGCAAUUUAAUAAUGUAAUUUUAAAAUGGUUUGGCAAACACUUGCUACGUUAAUAAACAAUCUUAUGAAAACUUCAAACACUGAUAAUUCGAUCAGAAUACAGUAAUUCGAACGAACUGUUCAAUAUAUUCAUUUUUCGUUAUCUAUUAUAGCAAGAACGGUCAGCUUUUAUUUUAUCUAAAUCUUGCAUAUUGAAUCGUUAAAGUCCGGCCCACACCGCCACGACUUGCCCAGACUCUACCCAACGCAACGUCUUGUCUCAGAUAAUCAGUGCAGUGUUUUACAAUCCCACGACCACGAUUCAAUCGAUUUCCGUCGCGUCGUGGCCCGUCGGCCCGACUGAGCAUGUUCAGUCGUAGUCGGAUGCAGUUGGAUGCAGUCGUAACCCAUCGUGUUUGCGUGGACACUCACACGACAAGAUCAAUUGUCUUACUGUUGUUUAGCCAAUCAGAGAGUAGCAUUUAGUCAUGUGACUGUGCAGGUCAUGUGCUCCUUGUUUUCCCGGGACAAUUCAAGAUGGCAGAUUUUUGUACAGAAGAGAGAGGGAAGUGGCGUAACUCACGACGCAUAAUCUGUGAGAGUCGGGUCUGUGUGGACUGGUACCGUCGUAGGCAAGUGAAGUAAAGACGCGACCCGAUUUUUUUUACAACUACCCAAGACGCUGAGUCCUGUCGGGUUGUGUGUAGUCGUAGCGGUAUUGGCCGGGCAAACCAAAGCCAAAUUAUAAACCUGUAGGUGAUCUCCCAACUUCGAUUCAAUUGGAUUAAAUCGAUUUUAUCAAAAACUUACCUGUGCCGUUUGCUUUUUUAUAUAGUAUGUAAUCUUAUUGAAAUACAGAUUUAUAUUUCGUUU